ACACGUUGCGUGAAACAUUCCUUUUUUAAGUGUGGUUAGAGUCAACGUUUAUAAUAUUUGUUAGAAAUCACGAUGGCACAAUACGAUUUAACUUCUCGAAUAGGACAAUAUUUGGAUCGUCAUUUGGUUUUCCCACUUCUUGAAUUUUUAUCUGCUAAACAAAUUUAUGACGAAGAUGAAUUACUUCAAGCAAAAUUGGAUAUUCUUAGUAAAACUAAUAUGAUAGAUUAUACAAUUGAUAUUCGAAAACAAUUGUAUCCUAAUUUGGAAGUUCCAGAGGAAUUAAAAGCCAGGCGUGCUGGUGUUCUGCAAGAACUUAGCAUAUUGCAAAACAAUGUUUCUGUUGUUGUAGCGUUAAUGAAUAAUGAAGAAGUAAUGAAGAAAAUGGAAAACAUGAGAGAUUCAAAGGCUUUGAGUAAUUAUCUUACUCAAGAAUCUGAUUUUAGGGUAGAAAUGAUGGACAACUUUGUAAAACUUGCACAUUAUCGUUAUGAAUGUGGUAAUUAUUCUGUUUCCACUUCAUAUCUCUAUUUUUACAUGCUAAUAAUGCCACCAACUGACAAGAAUUAUUUAAAUGUAUUAUGGGGCAAGUUAGCUUCAGAGAUUCUUGUACAAAACUGGGAAACUGCACUUGAGGAUGUAAACAAGUUAAGAGAAUAUAUUGAUAGUAAUAUUAUUGGAAAUUCUGUACAAGUGUUACAGUUACGUACAUGGCUUAUUCAUUGGAGCUUGUUUGUAUUCUUUAAUCACGUUAAGGGAAGAGAUUUGAUUAUUGAAAUGUUUCUUUAUCGACCUCAUUAUCUAAAUGCUAUACAAACAAUGUGCCCACAUAUAUUACGUUACUUAGCUGCAGCGGUAAUUGUCAAUCGUUCUCGACGUUCUAUAUUAAAAGAUCUUGUAAAAGUGAUACAACAGGAAUCUUACACAUAUCGGGAUCCUAUUACUGAGUUUUUGGAACACUUGUAUGUUAAUUUUGAUUUUGACGGCGCAAGAAAGAAAUUGCGACAAUGUCAAACCGUUGUAUUCAAUGAUUUCUUCCUUAUUGCAUUGUUGAAUGAGUUUGUGGAAAAUGCUAGAUUAAUGAUCUUUGAAACUUUCUGCAGAAUUCAUCAAUGUAUUAGUAUUGGAAUGCUUGCGGAAAAAUUAAAUAUGAAAGCAGAUGUAGCAGAAUGUUGGAUAGUUAAUUUAAUUCGUAAUGCUCGAUUAGAUGCAAAAAUAGACAGUAAAUUAGGACAUGUUGUAAUGGGUGGACAGCCAGCAUCUCCAUACCAACAACUGGUGGAAAAAAUCGAAACAUUAAGUGUACGGAGCGAAGCUCUAGAAAAUCUAAUUGAACGGAAAGUAAAAGCGAAAAAUCAGGAUCCAGUAAGUAUAAUGUGGAACUAAUAGAGGUCAGUAUCGCUUGUAACAAAAUCCACUUAGAGUGUCUUGUUCUUUGUUUUGAAUCUGUCAAAUCGCAAUAAUAGUGGAAAUAAAGUAUCAUCGUUCUUGGAAUAUGGAUGUGUGACGUCUAAACAUCUUAUACAAAACUGUAUGAUAAAAUAUAUGAAUACAAAGAUGA